UCCGUUAUGGUGUAGUGGCUAACAUUAUCGCCUCUCAUCCUGAUAUUAAACACUAGGUGUAUACGCGAUAGCCCCGGGUUCGAUUCCCUGUAACGGAA